UACGAAGGGGGCUAGCGUUGCUCGGAAUCACUGGGCGUAAAGCGCACGUAGGCGGAUUGUUAAGUCAGGGGUGAAAUCCUGGAGCUCAACUCCAGAACUGCCUUUGAUACUGGCGAUCUCGAGUCCGGGAGAGGUGAGUGGAACUGCGAGUGUAGAGGUGAAAUUCGUAGAUAUUCGCAAGAACACCAGUGGCGAAGGCGGCCACCUGGACGACAACUGACGCUGAGACGCGAAAGCGUGGGUAGCAAACAGG
rnacentral:rRNA from 1 species